ensembl:lncRNA
CUGAAUGUGGGCUCUGUCCCAUAGGAACCUCUGCGCAUGGAUGUCCCGGGCGACAAAGACACCGUUAAAAUCGCUGCUGUCCUGGACUUCCCUUGGUGGUCCAGUGGUCAAGACUCUGCGCACCUGCUGCAGGGGACAUGGGUUUGACCCCUGGUCCUGGGCGGUCUGGCAUGCUGUGCUGUGCGGCCAAAAACAGCGCUUACUGUCCUUUGCCAGAACCUUUGGAGACCUCGCAGCACUGGGUUGGUGCCGGAACAGCCCUGGGGUUAGCGCUCCUCCGCUGCCAUGCAGCACCGAGCAGCUCCUCCUCAUACAGCUGCCGCCAGAGACGAGUCAGGGCCCCUGCUGACCCGGGCCGGGUCGGGGGUGACCUCAGCAGAGUCGCUGCUGGAUGCACGUGACAUGAGCUAUGAGGUUUGCUUAUAUACUUUUUGUUAUACAUAGGGAUGAAUACAGUCACGUGGGAUCAGCAGACCUGACCCUUGUCAAAAUCAGGGAAGAGGUGUCUGGAGCAGCUGCUCCCUGACCCGCUGUCUGCGUCUGCCUCCCUGCUCUGUGCCUUCAGGGCGGCUGUUCCUGGAGGCGAGACCACAGUCUGUUCCACCCAGAAACCGGACCCUGCCCCUGUCUGAACGGGUCAUAGCGCCUUCCGGGAUGCACGGAGAGACGCCCGGUGAUGACCCUGCCCCGUCCUGGUCCUCCUGUGGCCCGGGAGUGCAAACACUCUGUGUGUCUUGCAAGAUGGGGAGGAGGAGGCUGUUGGGGAAGAGUUGAGGGGUUGCAGGCCAGCGAGCUACCAGGCAGGUCAUGGUCCAGUGUGUGGUCCUGAGGCCCUAAUAGCUCUCCCCCUUCCUCACCGGGUAAACUUCAGGCAGGUUUCUACACUGUGCCAGCCUCCAUUCUUCACUGGUCAAAUGGAAAGGGUGACUGUGUCUAUUCAGCGUAUAGUGAUUGUAAAUUUUGCUGUUGUUCUGUGGCUCAGUCGUGUCUGACUCUUUGCUGUCCCAUAGACUGUAGUCCACCGGGCUCCUCUGUCCAUGGGAUUCCCUGGGCAAGAAUACAGGAGUGGGUUGUCACGCCCUUCUCCAGGGGAUCUUCCCGAUGCAGGGAUUGAACCUGGAUCUCCUGCAUUGAAGGCAGAUUCUUUACUGUCUGAGCCACCAGGGGCUUGUUAAUUGUAUAUUUAGCAUAUAAUAAUUAUUAAACUGUUAGCAGAUACCAAGUGC